AUCUUCUUCCGCUCUGAGGCGCUACUGAGGCCGCGGAGCCGGACUGCGGUUGGGGCGGGAAGAGCCGGGGCCGUGGCUGAGAUAGAGCAGCCCUGCUGCUGAGGCCCCGCCCUCCCCACCCUGAGGUGGGGGCCCACCAGGAUGAGCAAGCUGCCUAGGGAGCUGACCCGAGACUUGGAGCGCAGCCUGCCUGCCGUGGCCUCCCUGGGCUCCUCACUGUCCCACAGCCAGAGCCUCUCCUCGCACCUCCUUCCGCCGCCUGAGAAGCGAAGGGCCAUCUCUGAUGUCCGCCGCACCUUCUGUCUCUUCGUCACCUUCGACCUGCUCUUCAUCUCCCUGCUCUGGAUCAUCGAACUGAAUACCAACACAGGCAUCCGUAAGAACUUGGAGCAGGAGAUCAUCCAGUACAACUUUAAAACUUCCUUCUUCGACAUCUUCGUCCUGGCCUUCUUCCGCUUCUCUGGACUGCUCCUAGGCUAUGCCAUGCUGCGGCUCCGGCACUGGUCACGACGCUGGUGUCCAGUGCAUUCCUCAUUGUCAAGGUCAUCCUCUCUGAGGUCAGUGGCUCAGGGUCUGGCCAGUCUGGUGGGCAUCAGACCUGAGUGGUAUGCUUCUAGAGAGGAGCAUUUCUCUAAUUUGGGGUGUCUGUCCCUGUUGUCCGGGUUAGGGGGAGAGGGAAUCCUGUCCUUUGGUAUCUAUAAGGAAUCAUCCUUCACCCGCUUCCCUGACUUAGCCCCUUGCAGCUCUAGGAAUCAGAAGGUUCUUUCUCCAGCCUAACCCCAGUUUAUCCUGCUGCAGACUUGAGAGGGUUCCCAAGCAGCUGCUACCAGGAAUGGGGUGUAUGCCAGUUUGACUGGCUAGAGUUGGUAGCCACAGAAGGGGGCUCUGGGUUUGGGGUGACCCCUGCCAUGGAGCUCAGCCCCCUCCCUUCACAGCUGCUCAGCAAAGGGGCAUUUGGCUACCUGCUCCCCAUCGUCUCUUUUGUCCUCGCCUGGUUGGAGACCUGGUUCCUUGACUUCAAAGUCCUACCCCAGGAAGCUGAAGAGGAGCGAUGUGAGUGCUUGCGGGUAGGGGGGUGCAGCGAGGGUUACCCCCAGCCCCAAGAGAGGGGAGUUGCGGGCAUGAGAGUCAGUCUGAAGCAUCUCGCCACCUCUGAGCAGCCUCCAGUAGCCUGAGGGGGAGCUUGGGUGGGGGUACCCCAGGCUGCUAGGGUGUAACUGUCCUUGGUCUGGGACUGAGUCUGCUCCUCCAGGGUAUCUUGCCGCCCAGGUUGCUGUUGCCCGUGGACCCCUGCUGUUCUCCGGUGCUCUGUCCGAGGGACAGUUCUAUUCACCCCCAGAAUCCUUUGCA
rnacentral:sRNA from 1 species